UACAGAGGGUGCAAGCGUUGUUCGGAAUUAUUGGGCGUAAAGCGCGUGUAGGCGGCUUUGCAAGUCGGGUGUGAAAGCCCUCAGCUCAACUGAGGAAGUGCGCCCGAAACUGCAGAGCUUGAGUACCGGAGAGGAUGGCGGAAUUCCCCAAGUAGAGGUGAAAUUCGUAGAUAUGGGGAGGAACACCGGUGGCGAAGGCGGCCAUCUGGACGGAUACUGACGCCGAGACGCGAAAGCGUGGGUAGCAAACAGG
rnacentral:rRNA from 1 species